rnacentral:lncRNA from 1 species
GCCAACUGGACCCUAACUGGACUGUGACUGUGUCCUGAUGAGUUUCUUCUUGUUCUUAUUGGGGUGAUGAUGCUCAGAUGAUCCAGGACAGUUGCUGAGAUCAGAGGACACGGUGCAGAAGCACAGACACAGGUGAAUCAGUGUUUCCAGCAGAGAGACAUCAUGGCAGCUGCAGCACCAGUCACAGGUGAUGUGCGACCACUGAAGCGCAGAAACAGCGUUCGUCGCCUGCCACCUCACAGUGAGUCAAAAUGAACUGGG